CAUGAUGUAACUUGUCUAAAUUAAAUUAACCUAGAUGGAUGGAAAAAUUCGAGCCAGCCAGGAGUCGAACCUAGAAUCUUCUGAUCCGUAGUCAGACGCGUUAUCCAUUGCGCCACUGGCCCGCUGCACUCCGGUAAAACUGUCGCCUACUUAAAAGGGACAUUCUAUUCUUCAUCUACAUUCUAUAUACAUACAUUCUUCAUAUCACAUUUUAUUGGUCACAUACAGAGUUGUUUGAUAAUGCGAGUGUAGCGAAAUGCUUGUGCUUCUAGUUCCGGCAAUGCAGUAAUAUCUACCAAAUUAACAACAACUACCUUAUACACCUCAAAUGAACAAUCGUUUAUUUCUGGAGAAGGUCGCCUUUCGAGCUCGCAAAACUUUGAUGAGAUGGAGACUGCUUCGGCAAUGUUAACAUAUGUUUCCCAUGCUAACAAAGCCCCUUGAAUUUAAAUUGAAUUGACUCCCGAUGGCUAGGUAGCUAGCUAGCCAGCUAACGUUAGUGCAACAGGUGGGCAGGUGUUGAACGGUUUCCUGUAUCACCUCUUCCUAUGACGGUUUUGACCGAACUUCGUAGCUAGCAAGCGAGAAAACAUUUUCAUAUAUCUUCUGCUAACGUUACCUUCCUUGCCACGGUCAGAUAAAUUAUCCAGCUAACACAACAUGGGAAUAUGCAUAUUUCACUAAUAUAACUAACGUAGCUACUCGUUGGAAAUUCGGGUUGCUAAGUUUAGCUCUCUUAGUAAGUCGUCGGUUGCUUUUCAUGAGAAAAGAAACGGACAUGUAGCACGUGGUCGGCGUUCCAAACAUACACAGAGAGCCAAUCACUGGCAUGCAAACAAUGACCACAGGAAAAGGUUUGCUGGUGGGAAUUGCGAUGGUGACUCAAAACAACAACAAAAAAGCAUUGAGCUAAAGCUAGCUAGCUAUCAUACCAAACAAAUGUGUGUAAGUUACUGUACAUGGAUCGUUCAAGACGAUCCAGCUAAACCGGCGUGACAACGUUUUGACCCUCACCUCUCUCUGUCACCAGUAGCAGCAAUAUUACUUUAGUAGCAAGUGACUCGAACCUUAGCAGCAGCCUUAUAUAAUAAAAUAAAGACCAGUAUACGGUUGGUUCAAUCAAUAUCCGAACUUAAACAUUAAGACGGAUAAUAAUUUCACCGCAUGAAUUCAUUUUUCUUAGUCGUAAACAAAAUUUAAUUAAUGAACAUAGACGGUGUGGGCGUAGAGGAUACGUGUGCUAGCUGUUUUCCAAGUACAAGCUGUCUAUAUGACGUUACCUGACCAUCGCUCCAGCUAGCUACCUUUCGCCAGGUCAAGAUGUCAGGCUCUCAACUGACUCCACAGUGCUACUCCUACAUCACCUAUGUGCAGGUAUAGCCUCAUGUUGAUGUAAUCUAAGCAGCCAUUGUCUGCCAACAGGUGACAUUGUUUGUUCCUAAACCCUCGACCUAUGACUCUAUGGGCAGAUUAACUAAGUGUUUGCACUGUUUUUUCAGCAAGGGAUAAACUUUCACCUGGUGCAAAUGCUUAGUAGAGCUGGCCAUAGUGCCUCUAGCUAAUACAACAUUUCUUGUUGACACUGUCCUCUAGUUAAGAGAUCCUUUCAUGUUGUUGUGACCUUUGACAUGUGUUUUCCUGCAGUGUUGAGCAGGCUGGAGGAGGUGCAGAUGAUAAGAAGAUAAAGGAGGGGGGUGGCCAAUACUACAGCGUCUGUACGGAGUUUCUGUUACACACAUUUUAUUUACAGUUACAAAGAAAUGCCCACCCACUUCAACUGAUAUUUUGAGCCUUGGUCUAACUAAAACCAUGUGUACUGUUCUCCCAUUCUCAAGGCAAAACUCCUGUGCGAGACCAAGGCCAUCCCCAACCUGAUCUACAGUAUAGAGCAGUUUGAGAAAUACCUAAUCACCCUCUCCAAGAAAUCAAAGUUAUGUAUGGGGGUGCUUUAGGAUGGGAGAUUGUCUCAAAUUGAAUGGAAGUGUCUACUUGUAACCAAACAUAAAGCAGGAUCUGAAAAUGAGGACACACAAUAGAAGAUAGAGCCUUGUGGGACAUUUCAGUAACAGAACAUCUCCCAAACUAAACAUGCACUGCAUUAUUGUAACUACAAGAUAAAACGGGUGCCUGUGUGUUGCGUAGGUGAAUCUUAUUCCGUACAUGAAGCUGAGAGAUUUCCGCAUCAACACAGCCACUAGAGGCAGCACUGCAGGACAAGUCAGCAGGUGAGCAUCAACCAUAACACUGACACACACAUGACAGUUAUCCAAAACAUUGGUUUAGUCUCCUAUUCACUCAGCUCCAUCAUGACCUGUCACACCAAAUUUACUUAUGCUUUAUUAGUCCUGCCCAUACUCCCGCAUUCCUCACAUCGUCCUGUUCAGUAGCACACAUCACAUUUAUAAGUUAUAACACCAUGGAUACAUUUUUCUUUUGGUUCUCCUAUUUUUCCCAGACCCAAUGGUCUCAGCUAAAGUAUCAGUGUCUGACACCACAUAUCCAAUUGUGUGUUGAGGAGGAUAAGUGCUGCUUUGGAUCUUUUCCUUCUUUAGACCACAGCCUCUCAGGAGCCAGAGCAGAGCCAGGAGCCCAAGAGGAAGCAGUGAUGGAAAACAAUAUAUUUUUCCCCCUCUAAACUGCUCAAUAGACUCCUCUCUCAACCAGUCUGGAGCUGCCCCCAUUCAUUCGGAUGAUCCACUGAGAUGGGUUGUGUUCAUUUGGGCUAACUGUAGCAAAAUAAUUGCAGCCCCAAAAAAAUUAUCCCUUUAAAAAAAAUGUUGGACAACUUUAGAUAGUACAACUCCGCUGCUGACUGUUUUCUUCUGUUUGGUGCCUUAUGAGCAUGACCCUGCAGUUCCCAUUGACGUCAUUGGUUUGACUCAGUGCCUGGGUUGGGGCAGCCCUGGAGGACCUUUAUCCCAUGAUGUCUCUGUCUGCACGAGCUACACAAUAGAGGACUGGUCUGUUCACCCUGUUAUCUCCCUUUCCCCAGAGAGCCUUUGGUGAUGUCUAUGAUUUGGUAUAUGUCCAGAGCCUCACCUGUGGAGAUUCAAUGUGUGGUUAUUCUAGGUACAUGCUGUACAGAGAAAGAUACAAGAGGUUGAAGAUAUUUUGUAUUAUCUGAUCAUUUGUUUAAAGCUUUCACUUCGCAUACUGAGAGCAUGCAAAAAUGGCUGCUUAUUACUUUACUGUGAAAAUGUAACUGUAUUUAAAAAAAAAAAAAUCUAAAUUAUAAUAUUUCUCAAAUUAUUUUAUAAAAAGGUCAAUAAAUAAGGUUGCAACACAUGCACACUACAAUCCGAA